rnacentral:rRNA from 1 species
CGAACUUCUUUAUCACCGAGUGCUUGCACUCACCGAUAAAGAGUUUAGUGGCGAACGGGUGAGUAACACGUGGGCAACCUGCCCAAAAGAGGGGGAUAACACUUGGAAACAGGUGCUAAUACCGCAUAACCAUAGUUACCGCAUGGUAACUAUGUAAAAGGUGGCUAUGCUACCGCUUUUGGAUGGGCCCGCGGCGCAUUAGCUAGUUGGUGGGGUAAAGGCUUACCAAGGCAAUGAUGCGUAGCCGAACUGAGAGGUUGAUCGGCCACAUUGGGACUGAGACACGGCCCAAACUCCUACGGGAGGCAGCAGUAGGGAAUCUUCCACAAUGGGCGAAAGCCUGAUGGAGCAACGCCGCGUGGGUGAAGAAGGUCUUCGGAUCGUAAAACCCUGUUGUUAGAGAAGAAAGUGCGUGAGAGUAACUGUUCACGUUUCGACGGUAUCUAACCAGAAAGCCACGGCUAACUACGUGCCAGCAGCCGCGGUAAUACGUAGGUGGCAAGCGUUAUCCGGAUUUAUUGGGCGUAAAGGGAACGCAGGCGGUCUUUUAAGUCUGAUGUGAAAGCCUUCGGCUUAACCGGAGUAGUGCAUUGGAAACUGGGAGACUUGAGUGCAGAAGAGGAGAGUGGAACUCCAUGUGUAGCGGUGAAAUGCGUAGAUAUAUGGAAGAACACCAGUGGCGAAAGCGGCUUCUCUGGUCUGUAACUGACGCUGAGGUUCGAAAGCGUGGGU